UACGUAGGUGGCAAGCGUUGUCCGGAAUUACUGGGUGUAAAGCGCGUGUAGGCGGCAGACCAAGUCGGCGGUGAAAGCGCCCCGGCUCAACUGGGCGAGGUCCGUGGAAACUGGUCAGCUGGAGGACGGUAGAGGCGAGUGGAAUUCCCGGUGUAGUGGUGAAAUGCGUAGAGAUCGGGAGGAACACCUGUGGCGAAGGCGGCUCGCUGGGCCGGCCCUGACGCUGAGACGCGAAGGCGUGGGGAGCGAAACGGGAUUGAGA
rnacentral:rRNA from 1 species